ACUAGUUGAGAAUUUUGGACCAGUUAGCAGUGUACUGUUUAAAAAACAAAUAAUUGGUCAAAAUUGGACAAGUUUUCUAUCUAGUCCUUUGUGGGUUUUGAUCAAGUUCUUUUCAUCAUAUUAUUAGUACAAAUAAAAAAAUUCCAAGGUUUCCCAAACGAUUCACUUUUAGUCAUGUAGCCAAAAAAUUGGAUGUAAAUGUAGUACUAGUUGAGAAUUUUGCACCAGCUAGCAGGAUACUGUUUAUUUAUUUUCUUCAUUAUUAGUGUUCCCUGUUCUUACAUAGGUAUGCCUGGUUUGACUGCUUAUGCUGGUUUCUAUGAAGUUUGUUCCCCUAAGGAAGGGGAAUGUGUCUUUGUUUCAGCAGCAUCUGGUGCUGUUGGUCAGCUCGUUGGGCAAUUUGCAAAGUUAAUGGGUUGCUAUGUUGUUGGAAGUGCAGGAAGCAGAGAAAAGGCAAGUCAGACCCCACUUGACAGGGUUCCUUUUUUUUUUUUCCUGGUUAUUUAUUAUUUGAUUCCAACUAUUUAGAGUGUAUUGUGCAAUGACUCAUUUUGCCAUUAAGAUCCAUUUUAGAAGGUAUACUUUCUUUGAGCUUAAUGCAAAAAGGGGAUAUGAGUUUGAUUCAUUGAUUUGAGAUCUAAAAGAUAUAUUUUUGUCUGGCUUUUGUGUUAAAUCAGGUUGAUUUAUUGAAGAAUAAGAUGGGGUUCGACGAUGCUUUCAAUUACAAGGAGGAACCUGACCUGAAUGCGGCUCUGAAAAGGUCAGUAUAAGCAAUUCUUAGAAAAAGAAAACCAAUUUCUUUUGUGAAAAUAUUUGGCAUCUUGAACAUGACAUGAACAUUUAUCAUGCUUUCAUAUAUUUUUUUCAUAUAUAAUUAGCUUUAUGUAUAGUUUUUAUCAAGCAGAAAGCAGUCAUCAAGUGAAGCUUAUAGAGGAACAAGAGGAGUAACAUUCUGAACAUCAUGGGAAAAUUCUUAAACUUUCCCCAUGGAAAAAUUCUUGAACAUGGCCUAACAAUCCAAGUUUUACAUAAUUUAAUAGUUAAUACUUAGAGCACACUAGCACUUAUAUGCCCUGGCAACAUCUUUUCAGGCCCUUAGACAUGUUUCUUUGAUGACACCAGAUACUUCCCUGAAGGUAUUGACAUUUACUUUGAGAACGUUGGGGGCAAGAUGCUUGAUGCAGUGCUACUUAACAUGAGAGUCCAUGGCCGCAUUGCUGUUUGUGGAAUGAUCUCACAAUACAAUCUUGAUAAACCUGAAGGCGUGAGCAACUUGAUGUCCAUUGUUUAUAAGCGGGUUCGUAUUGAAGGAUUUAUAGUUUUUGAAUUUUAUCACAAGUAUCCCAAGUACUUGGACAUGGCACUGGCUUACAUGAGAGAAGGCACGAUCAUUUACGUGGAGGAUAUUGCAGAAAGCCUAGAGAAUGGCCCUGCUGCCCUCGUAGGCCUUUUCACAGGCCGUAACAUGGGAAAGCAAGUAGUUCUAGUUUCUCAUGAAGGAAAGAAAGAUUCAGCCAACCAAUGAGCUCACUGGUAUUGGAAUCAUCCAUAGAACCUAAUUUUAUUUGAUUAGGUUUUGUCCAAAAACCGGUUUGUUCAUUUAUCAUGCACUUCUUCUAUAAAUACCCAUUGCACACAGUUAUGUACCUAUCUUUGUUCUUUAAAGUACCUCCCCUUCCACAUGUCUUGUAUCCAUAAAAGAGAAGUUAUUGGUUUUGAUUUGAAAACCUCAAUGCAUUCCUAAACAGUUAAUUUUAAUUUAUUAACUAGACACGUUCACUGGUCCAGGCUCCAACAGGCUUGGGCAAGUGGUAGACAGUCCAGACUCGGCCUCAAUAUAUAUAUAUAUAUAUAUAUA
rnacentral:misc_RNA from 1 species